UACGGAGGUGGCAAGCGUUACUCGGAAUUAUUGGGUUUAAAGGGUGCGUAGGCGGCUUAAUAAGUCAGUGGUGAAAGCCGAUCGCUUAACGAUCGAACUGCCAUUGAUACUGCUAGGCUUGAGUAUAGUUGAGGUAGGCGGAAUUGACAGUGUAGCGGUGAAAUGCAUAGAUAUUGUCAAGAACACCAAUUGCGAAGGCAGCUUACUAAAGUAUAACUGACGCUGAGGCACGAAAGUGCGGGGAUCAAACAGG
rnacentral:rRNA from 1 species